UACGUAGGGAGCGAGCGUUGUCCGGAAUCAUUGGGCGUAAAGCGCGUGUAGGCGGCCUAAACAGUCUGGUGUGAAAUCUUUCGGCUCAACCGGAAGCGGUCACUGGAUACUAUUAGGCUUGGAGUCCGGAAGAGGAGAGUGGAAUUCCUGGUGUAGCGGUGGGAAUGCGCAGAUAUCAGGAGGAACACCGGUGGCGAAGGCGG
rnacentral:rRNA from 1 species